rnacentral:rRNA from 1 species
GAGCUUGCUUCCUUUUGACGUUUAGCGGCGGACGGGUGAGUAACACGUGGAUAACCUACCUAUAAGACUGGGAUAACUUCGGGAAACCGGAGCUAAUACCGGAUAACAUUUUGAACCGCAUGGUUCAAUAGUGAAAGACGGCUUUGCUGUCACUUAUAGAUGGAUCCGCGCCGUAUUAGCUAGUUGGUAAGGUAACGGCUUACCAAGGCAACGAUACGUAGCCGACCUGAGAGGGUGAUCGGCCACACUGGAACUGAGACACGGUCCAGACUCCUACGGGAGGCAGCAGUAGGGAAUCUUCCGCAAUGGGCGAAAGCCUGACGGAGCAACGCCGCGUGAGUGAUGAAGGUCUUCGGAUCGUAAAACUCUGUUAUCAGGGAAGAACAAACGUGUAAGUAACUGUGCACGUCUUGACGGUACCUGAUCAGAAAGCCACGGCUAACUACGUGCCAGCAGCCGCGGUAAUACGUAGGUGGCAAGCGUUAUCCGGAAUUAUUGGGCGUAAAGCGCGCGUAGGCGGUUUUUUAAGUCUGAUGUGAAAGCCCACGGCUCAACCGUGGAGGGUCAUUGGAAACUGGAAAACUUGAGUGCAGAAAAAGAAAGUGGAAUUCCAUGUGUAGCGGUGAAAUGCGCAGAGAUAUGGAGGAACACCAGUGGCGAAAGCGACUUUCUGGUC